rnacentral:rRNA from 1 species
GCAAAACGCGAAGAACCUUACCCACCUUUGACAUGUACGGAAUCCUUUAGAGAUAGAGGAGUGCUCGAAAGAGAGCCGUAACACAGGUGCUGCAUGGCUGUCGUCAGCUCGUGUCGUGAGAUGUUGGGUUAAGUCCCGCAACGAGCGCAACCCUUGCCAUUAGUUGCUACGAAAGGGCACUCUAAUGGGACUGCCGGUGACAAACCGGAGGAAGGUGGGGAUGACGUCAAGUCCUCACGGCCCUUAUAGGUGGGGCUACACACGUCAUACAAUGGCUGGUACAAAGGGUUGCCAACCCGCGAGGGGGAGCUAAUCCCAUAAAGCCAGUCGUAGUCCGGAUCGCAGUCUGCAACUCGACUGCGUGAAGUCGGAAUCGCUAGUAAUCGUGGAUCAGAAUGUCACGGUGAAUACGUUCCCGGGUCUUGUACACACCG